UACGGGGGGGGCAAGCGUUGUUCGGAAUUACUGGGCGUAAAGCGCGCGCAGGCGGCCCGCGAGGUGUCCUGUGAAAGCCCCGUGCUCAACGCGGGAGGGUCAGGGCAAACCGGCGGGCUUGAGGCCGGUAGAGGUGGGUGGAACUCCUGGUGGAGUGGUGAAAUGCGUAGAGAUCAGGAAGAACACCCGUGGCGAAGGCGGCCCACUGGGCCGGAUCUGACGCUGAGGCGCGAAGGCGUGGGGAGCGAACGGG
rnacentral:rRNA from 1 species